AUUGCAAACGUGAAUAUGUAUGUCAUUUCAAAAAAACAUAAAUAAAGUUGUAGAUAUAGGUAUAUAACUUAGAUCAAGGUAAACACAACGUUAUCAAGUAAAAUGAGCAACGCAUGUUUUUUGUAAUUAUUCCUGCAACCAUUAUUUCUGUGACACUUUCUGUUCCGUCAAAUCGUUAAAACAAUAAUGUUUCAGAACUAUUUAAAUAAUGACUUUAAUACUUUCGAAAGAGAUUUGUAUUCAUUAUGAUAAAGAUAUUGUUUGCACAUGCGCAAUGAUGAAAUCCCUAACCUUUUCUGAAACAUUGUAAGGCUAUGUCCAAUUCUAUUUUGAAUCGUAAAGUUCCCAAAAUUCAAUUUGAUAUCACUAUGAAUAUACCAAGAAGUUGAAUACACAUAAUAAAUAAUUCAAAGAACCUGUAGAACGAAAGGAAACAAUGUCUUGUUAAAACACAUCAAUUACCAAGUAAAAUGGAGAUAAGAAGACGAAGUGCGGCCUCGGAUGCAUUUAAGGUUUCCGAGAAGCUCGAUAACAUACUGCUCGACAUUGCUGAUCCUUUCUGAAGUUGGUCCCCUAUUUUAUUGCUUAAAUUUCUCGUAUUAUUCCUAGAACGUUUCCAUUAAACUUCCUUUUUCUCAGGUUUUUUUUAAUCAAAAUAUCUGCAACUUAUCGAAACGAUACCAUCACCCAUCACCGAGGUUAUCAGUAUACUGAUAUUAAAAUCGCGAUGAGAAAGGAAAUGACAAUAAGAACUUUGCGUAACGCAACAACGCAUCCGAUGCAGAAAGUGUUCUAAAAAUCGCUGAAUUAAAUAUUCAUUAAAAGCAAAAAGUCCUUGGAUAAAUCGUAAAAACAAAAUCACAUAUUUAAACAGACUUCUCCUGUUACAGAUUGACUGUGCAGUGAGUGACUAUACAGUUUACUGAAAUAAAUUGAAACGAUUCGAAACAAUCAAAGUUAUAGGGAGUGGGGAAAAUGAGCCAACUUUAUGUUCCUUUUUCUUCGAAUCUACUGCAGUUAUCAAUUUAACAAUUUUUUAAACAUCAAGUACUGUACUAGAUGUGCAUUUUAGCUAAAGAGGAUCUUUACAUAAAAUAAUUAAAGCAAGCUGAACGAUAAGUCAGUCACCCGACUAACAUGGCGGUUAGGAUGUUAACAUGCUAAUAACGAAAUUACCUUUUUGUUAAGAAAACUUGACUACAAAGCGGAGAAUCACGAAGAACGUACUACAAAUUUAAUUAAAUCUGAAUUUAGAAUCAUUUAAAACUGAAGAACUGUUUGUAUUAGUUAAUAAAAUGAGGUACAGUUAAAAAAUAGAAAAAAGAUUCCAUCAACAUUUCUUGAACCGGAAAUUAACAAACCCUUCGCAAUCCAACUACAAUUUAACACAAAAAUCGUACAACAAUAAUACCUAAAUGAAGCCUACUAGAAAAGGAUUUUAAGUUACACCACUAGUAACUGCACAGUUUACUAUGUCAUAUCAAACCUUCUCUCCUGUCUUUAUCCUUCCUCAACCAUCUGUUCUCUCCUGCCGUUGGAAUGUCGAGGGGAGUGGAAACGGCAAGAGGAGCGAGAAAGAGAAAAAAAAAAUCUUUUUUCGAGCAAAGAGGACUUCGCAGAAUUGGACGUCGUAAUUUUAUUUGAGGAAACAGAACAAGACCCCGUUGGAAGCGUACAGAAUUAGAAAAACAAAAAAAAAAAUGUUGAAAGAGAAACUUGGAGGGAGCGAGCACGUGAUCCGGCAGCACGUAGUAGGGGAAAUCGAGGAAGACUCGUCGAGGGGCGUUAAGAACUUUAUUCUACGGAUGGCGAUGAUCAAGCAAACGAUCAAGCAAAUUUUUUCCAAUGUCAAAGGUUACGGUGCAAAAAAUUAAUUAAAUCUGCACGAUCGAUUAAAUUGCUGCGCAAUUACUUUAGAGAUAUUAGACAUAAUAAAUGUCAAUCCUUCUGACAUUUACAAUAUGAAGUUGGAAUAUGUUGAGACCUUAACCUUUUACCUAAUUCGAUGUUCAUUUUUAUAUUUAACCAUUGAAGAACGAAGUCUGGGUCAACUGAGACCUAAACUUACAAACAAUAUACAAAGAUAUUAAUCUAAAGUUAAAUGAAUAAUUUUGAAAGGAACGGUAUAAAAUUUAGGAAAUGAAAAUAAUAUGAAAUAAAAAAUUAAAUCACAAUUGAGGCUCUCUCCAUGGUCCGUUGUCCGAGGGUUGAAAGGAGAUUAUUCAAAUUAUAACUAACUCACGAUGUAAUAAAAAGUAAGGUAAAGAACACUGACACCAGAGGUCAACUGAGAUGAUAUUUAGUAGGCGUCAUCGAGAAAGAAUGAGUGGAUUUAAAAUCAGCAGAAAAACAUAUUACGCGUCUAAUAUGAAUGAUUACGUCAAGUUCAAGAGAAACGAGCGGAGAAAUUAGAUUAGAUUGAUUGACGCUCAAAUCUGUCGCUAGUGCAUGUGCUCUCUAUGUCCACACAUGCCUCGCGGAAAAAUGGAUUCCUUUUAACUGGUUUACGUGCGAUCUCGUCUGUGCUAUCGCGUCAUCGUUCUCGCUUACGAGUUUGUACUUCCGUAGACCUCCCGUCGAAACGUCACGAAUUCCGAUGAUUCGACGCUACGCCAUACACCUAUAACGAUCUUGGCUGCCAAUCGAUUGCCGCUGCCAGACUGAUACCCUCCACGAUCAAGAGACACUCGACAUUGCCAACAUUUUACAUAUUUUUUUUUUUUCCUUUCACAAAAACAAUCUGUAAACAGUUUUUAAUUAAUCUUCGUGGAAAGCGAUACACGAAAUGUUGAUGAAAAAAAACAUGUUGUUACCCAUUGGUAAAUUUAGAUUUUUCAUUAUUUUUCACAUGUUUAUAGUUUUUUAUUAUCCAGUCUAAGAAUAUUCAGAAAGAUCCGGAGAGAGAAAGGAAGGCGAUAGUCGUAUCUGACGAUUGAUGAAGAAUCCUGGUAGGGGAAGAGACGAAAAAAGAGGGAAAAGAGAGAAAGAAAAAGGGAGGCGGAGAGAGAUCGAGAGAGAUCAGGGAGGGGAAAGAAAGAGAGAGAGUCGCGUACCUAAGACACGUUAUUCUUGUUCAUUUCCAAGAAUAAAUCCGUAAGAAUCCAUCUGGUCGUACAAUACGAGUUUCUCUUAACAAAAUACGCUAUUCCCUCCGUCCCUCUCCCUUUCGAACAUUUUGCAAACUCUCUGAUCCAUUAGAUCCGAUAUCUGCACUUUGUCCCCUCUUAUUUUCUUUUUUCCAAGAUAUUUCCUGGAUACGCUAAAAUCUUAUCUGAACGUUUAAUCUCUUUUCUGGAAUCUCCUGAUAUUUAUUACCAGGAGUUUUGUUUUUAAAUUGAAAUCCAUAUUUGUACAAGCAAUCGUGGGUGAUUUGUGUAUCCAUUGUUCAUCGUUCCAGACUCAUAAAUCAUUUGCAUAUAUAAAAGUAUAAAUUGAAAAUCUUUGCGUUCAGAGAUACCAUCUAACCGAAAGGUGUUCCUAUGAUCAUUAUAAACCUAUAGACCUCAUGAAUUUUGAGGAAAACGUUCCCCAUCGAUGAUACACGGUGUCUGAAAGAGGAACACCUGGCCGUGAGUCACGGGUCUGAAAUAUGUAUCCUAGCAGAACAUCUGACGUCUCUACGCAGGCAUUUGGUAUCCUUUAAUGAACGAAAAUGCUUUCAGGUAUAUUAAAGUAUUAUUAACCCGCCAGCUUUUGAAACUUAAGGAAACAGCUUCCAUUAAACAAAUACGAAUUACAUUGUAAAUACAUACGUGAAUAAACUCGCCUACCUACUGGGGUUUAUUUCGGUUCUAAAUAAAACAUACUCGUAAUAGUACGUAGUGGUCGAAACGCGUGUUCGUAGAUCGCAUAUAUCCAGAAAGCUUGUACAUAUGCUUCUUGAACAAUGGGUGGAGGCUGAUUCCGUUAUUAGGCACACAAUGCGUCCCAUUGUGCAUUUAUGGUGGCUUGGUGAGGGAGAUUUCGUGGUAACUCGUCAGGUUUUGUAGAAAUCGCUU